UGGGGAAUAUUGGACAAUGGGCGAAAGCCUGAUCCAGCCAUGCCGCGUGUGUGAAGAAGGUCUUCGGAUUGUAAAGCACUUUAAGUUGGGAGGCGUUACCGACAGAAUAAGCACCGGCUAACUCUGUGCCAGCAGCCGCGGUAAUACAGAGGGUGCAAGCGUUAAUCGGAAUUACUGGGCGUAAAGCGCGCGUAGGUGGUUCGUUAAGUUGGAUGUGAAAGCCCCGGGCUCAACCUGGGAACUGCAUCCAAAACUGGCGAGCUAGAGUACGGUAGAGGGUGGUGGAAUUUCCUGUGUAGCGGUGAAAUGCGUAGAUAUAGGAAGGAACACCAGUGGCGAAGGCGACCACCUGGACUGAUACUGACACUGAGGUGCGAAGGCGUGGGGAGCAAACAGGAUUAGAUACCCUUGUAGU
rnacentral:rRNA from 1 species